CUAAAUGAAACUAGAUACAAGCGAGCGGCGGACGGGUGAGUAACACGUGGGUAACCUGCCCAAGAGACUGGGAUAACACCUGGAAACAGAUGCUAAUACCGGAUAACAACACUAGACGCAUGUCUAGAGUUUGAAAGAUGGUUCUGCUAUCACUCUUGGAUGGACCUGCGGUGCAUUAGCUAGUUGGUAAGGUAAUGGCUUACCAAGGCGAUGAUGCAUAGCCGAGUUGAGAGACUGAUCGGCCACAUUGGGACUGAGACACGGCCCAAACUCCUACGGGAGGCAGCAGUAGGGAAUCUUCCACAAUGGACGAAAGUCUGAUGGAGCAACGCCGCGUGAGUGAAGAAGGGUUUCGGCUCGUAAAGCUCUGUUGGUAGUGAAGAAAGAUAGAGGUAGUAACUGGCCUUUAUUUGACGGUAAUUACUUAGAAAGUCACGGCUAACUACGUGCCAGCAGCCGCGGUAAUACGUAGGUGGCAAGCGUUGUCCGGAUUUAUUGGGCGUAAAGCGAGUGCAGGCGGUUCAAUAAGUCUGAUGUGAAAGCCUUCGGCUCAACCGGAGAAUUGCAUCAGAAACUGUUGAACUUGAGUGCAGAAGAGGA
rnacentral:rRNA from 1 species